AACGAACGCUGGCGGCAUGCCUUACACAUGCAAGUCAAACGGUAACGCGGGGCAACCUGGCGACGAGUGGCGAACGGGUGAGUAAUGCAUCGGAACGUGCCUGGUAGUGGGGGAUAACUGCUCGAAAGAGCAGCUAAUACCGCAUACGACCUGAGGGUGAAAGGGGGGGAUCGCAAGACCUCUCGCUAUCAGAGCGGCCGAUGUCGGAUUAGCUAGUUGGUGGGGUAAAAGCCCACCAAGGCGACGAUCCGUAGCUGGUCUGAGAGGACGAACAGCCACACUGGGACUGAGACACGGCCCAGACUCCUACGGGAGGCAGCAGUGGGGAAUUUUGGACAAUGGACGCAAGUCUGAUCCAGCCAUGCCGCGUGCGGGAAGAAGGCCUUCGGGUUGUAAACCGCUUUUGUCAGGGAAGAAAUCUUCUGGGUUAAUACCCUGGGAGGAUGACGGUACCUGAAGAAUAAGCACCGGCUAACUACGUGCCAGCCGCCGCCGUAACAC
rnacentral:rRNA from 1 species